rnacentral:rRNA from 1 species
GAUGAACGCUGGCGGCGUGCUUAACACAUGCAAGUCGAGCGAGAUUAUUCUUCGGAAUAGUCUAGCGGCGGACGGGUGAGUAACACGUGGGCAACCUGCCUUGUAGAGGGGGAUAGCCUUCCGAAAGGAAGAUUAAUACCGCAUAACGUUAUUGAAAGGCACCUUUCGAUAAUCAAAGGAGCAAUCCGCUACAAGAUGGGCCCGCGGCGCAUUAGCUAGUUGGUGAGGUAACGGCUCACCAAGGCGACGAUGCGUAGCCGACCUGAGAGGGUGAUCGGCCACAUUGGGACUGAGACACGGCCCAGACUCCUACGGGAGGCAGCAGUGGGGAAUAUUGCACAAUGGGGGAAACCCUGAUGCAGCAACGCCGCGUGAAUGAAGAAGGUCUUCGGAUCGUAAAGUUCUUUUCUUAGGGAAGAAACCAUGACGGUACCUAAGGAAUAAGCACCGGCUAACUACGUGCCAGCCGCCGCAGUAA